AUGCUUAUCUCAAGACCUUCUGUGUGGGUCAUCUCAGAGCCCUUGGGACUGCCUUUGGCCACAACCUUGGAUUUGAGUCAUAUCACUACCGAAUUCUUCCCUCUGUUCAUGGAAAUCUGAGUCUCACUCUGUUGCCAGGCUGGAGUGCAGUGGUGCGAUUAUAUUCACCUAGAAGUUUGUGAACACUGUUCCUCUUUCAGCAAAAUCCAUGUUAUAGAUGAUGCUGGAUUUUAGGCAUCCAGAAAGGCCUGAGAUUGGCAGCUAUUUGUUGACAAUUCAAUGGGCAUAAAAGGCAGCAAAACUAAUGAAUGAUUUCCAACCACAGAAGCCGUCACUGGGAGAGCCAAUAAAGAUACGACAGAUCUGGCAGGAGAACAAGAUCCAGCCCAGGUGAUGGGGUGUGAGGCUUGGUCUUGGCUACAGGAGACGCUGGUCUGAAAAGAAGGCAACGCAAGGAAGAGAACAGAGCCAAGGCACCUGCAGCGAGCCAGAGCCAGAGCACUGACAUCACAAAUGCUCUAAUUGGUUCCAUUUAUUGUUUAAUCCACUUGAAAUUGAAUUUCUGUCAUCCCUGACCGGAAGUGUACUGACCUGCAUACUACCUGUGUUUCCUCACAGCAGGCUGAAAAGCUGUGCCAAUAUUGAGCUCAUCCAGAAUUAGACGAAGUUUGUAUUCUUUUUAUUACUUCCUUUAACCCUGAACCAGGGUCCAGAAGCAUUUUGUUAACCAUUAACUCUUCUCUGUGAAUAAAGCAGCGUGAGGAACAACCUCUUUUAUUCGCAGAGCAAAGCUCUUCCCUGCUCAGCCACAGCGGCUUCAACUCUGGCACGCGUCCUGAAGUGCCAUUUCUAGCACAUGACUCACAAAGUAAAUAAUCUGUAAAUGAAAAGCCUCUUAUCAUACUUUGGCAAGAAAAACAAGGCGACAAGCCAGGCAGCAUUUUUCCCUCAUGUUUGAACCCCACAUGCACCAAGGGCUGUUUAUGCCUUGCACAUGAGGAGUUUGGUUUGCUCAAAAGCAAAGCAUUGGCUAACAUGUGUGCGCACUAGUAAUUGCAUUUCUGCUUUAUGUGCUGUUAUCUGAUAGAGGAGCUUUGUCAAUAUCCUUUGGAUCUCUCUCCAAGCGUAGCCUUCAUUAUGAUCUCUGAGCUGAUUUACGGUCUUCUUGGCAAUUUUACGACUGAUAUCUAGGUGCAUUUGCUAAGAGGACAGCAAUUUAGAAUGAUGUUUCUGUAGCUUAGUCUCCUCCGCACCUUUAAUAAGAAGAAUAAUCAAUUUUACAUUAGAAAGUUAUUUUGUGCUUGUUCUGGAAAAAUGGAAUUGGUUGCUUUUUCUAAAGAUAAUGAGAAACACUUUUUAUGACUCCAGACUACUAUAUAUCCACAUUUUCAUUUUAACAGUAAUAUAUCGAGGAUUAGGGGCAAAUGGAUUGCUUGUCCAAUAAAUGAAAUGUUCAAGUAUUCUUCAC